rnacentral:rRNA from 1 species
GUAGGUGGCAAGCGUUGUCCGGAAUUAUUGGGCGUAAAGCGCGCGCAGGCGGUUCUUUAAGUCUGAUGUGAAAGCCCACGGCUCAACCGUGGAGGGUCAUUGGAAACUGGAGAACUUGGGUACAGAAGAGGAAAGCGGAAUUCCACGUGUAGCGGUGAAAUGCGUAGAGAUGUGGAGGAACACCAGUGGCGAAGGCGGCUUUCUGGUCUGUAACUGACGCUGAGGCGCGAAAGCGUGGGGAGCAAACAGGAUUAGAUACCCUGGUAGUCCACGCCGUAAACGAUGAGUGCUAAGUGUUAGGGGGUUUCCCGCCCCCUUAGUGCUGCAGCUAACGCAUUAAGCACUCCGCCUGGGGAGUACGGCCGCAAGGCUG